rnacentral:rRNA from 1 species
CCUCGCCUGUUUACCAAAAACAUCGCCUCUUGUCCCCUAAAAAUAAGAGGUCCCGCCUGCCCUGUGACUAUACGUUUAACGGCCGCGGUAUUUUAACCGUGCAAAGGUAGCGCAAUCACUUGUCUUUCAAAUGAAGACCUGUAUGAACGGUAUAACGAGGGCUUUACUGUCUCCUCUUUCCAGUCAAUGAAAUUGAUCUCCCCGUGCAGAAGCGGGGAUAACCCCAUAAGACGAGAAGACCCUGUGAAGCUUAAGACAAAGAACAGACCAGACUAAGCACCUCAAACAAAACGAGCCUAAGCACUGGACCCUGCCCCCUGUCUUCGGUUGGGGCGACCACGGAGAAACAAAAAACCCCCAUGUGGAUUAGGAACACCACCUUCAACCCUUGCUCUCCUAGAACUAAGGGCUAUAACACGAAGUAACAAAAAAUUUUGACCAGACAUGAUCCGGUAAUACCGAUUAACAAACCAAGUUACUCCAGGGAUAACAGCGCUAUCCCCUUCUAGAGUCCCUAUCGACAAGGGGGUUUACGACCUCGAUGUUGGAUCAGGACAUCCUAAUGGUGCAACCGCUAUUAAGGGUUCGUUUGUUCAACGAUU